rnacentral:rRNA from 1 species
AGCUCAAAUUUGAAAGCUGGCGUCCUACGGGCGUCCGCAUUGUAAUCUAUAGAGGCGUUUUCUGUGCUGGACCGUGUCCAAGUCCCUUGGAACAGGGUAUCAAAGAGGGUGACAAUCCCGUACUUGACACGACAACCAGUGCUCUGUGAUACGUCUUCUACGAGUCGAGUUGUUUGGGAAUGCAGCUCAAAAUGGGUGGUGAAUUCCAUCUAAAGCUAAAUAUUGGCGAGAGACCGAUAGCGAACAAGUACCGUGAGGGAAAGAUGAAAAGCACUUUGGAAAGAGAGUUAAACAGUAUGUGAAAUUGUUGAAAGGGAAACGAUGGAGGUCAGUCGUGUCUGUGGGAUUCAGCCGUCUCUGGCGGUGUACUUCCCACAGACGGGUCAACAUCAGUUUUGGCUGGCGGAUAAAGGCAGGAGGAAGGUGGCACCCCCGGGUGUGUUAUAGCCUCUUGUUGCAUACGCUGGCUGAGACUGAGGAAUGCAGCUCGCCUUUAUGGCCGGGG